UCUUAUAUGGCUUGUUGAUUUUGAGUCCACAUGUUCACAAAAUGCAGUGUUGAUUAACACGAAGGCCCAUAUGCACAUAACACUUGGCUUUCCUUACAUCUCUCCUUCUCUUUCUUCUCCUCCUUUAAUAAUACUGGACACUGCUCAUUUUUGUUUAAACCACACACACAAAUUCUCACUUUAAAAAUACACUUCAUAAUUCACUCUGUAUUCUCUUAGUUUACGUAGCUUGCUUUGCUAUCUCACCUUACUCAUUUCUUCUCCUUAAUAUCUUUGCUCCUACUAAAUACACACACAUCUCUACCUUUUCCACUCCAAACUAUUACUCUACAUUGAUCAUUCUUCAUCUUUUCCAAGCUCCGAAUAUUAUCAAUUUUGUAUACAAAUU
rnacentral:lncRNA from 1 species